ACGUAGGGGGCAAGCGUUGCUCGGAAUUACUGGGCGUAAAGGGUGUGUAGGUGGCUGAUUAAGUUAAGGAUGAAAUCCCGAGGCUCAACUUCGGAACUGUCCUUGAUACUGGUCAGCUUGAGGCUAGUAAAGGAGAGCGGAAUUCCCGGUGGAGCGGUGAAAUGCAUAGAUAUCGGGAGGAACGCCGGAGGCGUAGGCAGUUCGCUAGGCUAGUCCUGACGCUGAGGCACGAAAGCUAGGUGAUCGAACGG
rnacentral:rRNA from 1 species